GACGAACGCUGGCGGCGUGCUUAACACAUGCAAGUCGAACGGAAAGGCCCUGCUUUUGUGGGGUGCUCGAGUGGCGAAAGGGUGAGUAACACGUGAGUAACCUGCCCUUGACUUUGGGAUAACUUCAGGAAACUGGGGCUAAUACCGGAUAGGAGCUCCUGCUGCAUGGGGGGGGUUGGAAAGUUUCGGCGGUUGGGGAUGGACUCGCGGCUUAUCAGCUUGUUGGUGGGGUAGUGGCUUACCAAGGCUUUGACGGGUAGCCGGCCUGAGAGGGUGACCGGCCACAAUGGUACUGAGAUACGGCCCAGACUCCUACGGGAGGCAGCAGUGGGGAAUAUUGCACAACGGGCGGAAGCCUGAUGCAGCAACGCCGCGUGCGGGAUGACGGCCUUCGGGUUGUAAACCGCUUUCGCCUGUGACGAAGCGUGAGUGACGGUAACGGGUAAAGAAGCACCGGCUAACUACGUG
rnacentral:rRNA from 1 species